rnacentral:lncRNA from 1 species
GUUUGUUAUUUGGGAUUUGACAGAGAUGUAAGUAACUGAGUACUCUCAGAACUGUACUUUAUGACUUUUCAGUUUUGGUUUGGUUUUACAUGGGCUUUGUAUCAAUGGGAUGAGUUAACAUUUCAGCUUAUUCUUAGUGUUUAAUUCUUACGUUCAACUGUUACACAGUUGUCCCAUGUUCAGAAGAGAGAAGGUUUAGCACCAAAAGUUAU